AUUGAACGCUGGCGGCAGGCCUAACACAUGCAAGUCGAACGCGUGGCGGACGGGUGAGUAAUGUCUGGGAAACUGCCUGAUGGAGGGGGGUAACUACGGGAAACGGUAGCUAAUACCGCAUACGAUCGGAGGUGCGCAGAUGGGAUUAGCUAGUAGGGGGGGUAACGGCGCACCUAGGCGACGAUCCCUAGCUGGUCUGAGAGGAUGACCAGCCACACUGGAACGGAGACACGGUCCAGACUCCUACGGGAGGCAGCAGUGGGGAAUAUUGCACAAUGGGCGCAAGCCUGAUGCAGCCAUGCCGCGUGUAUGAAGAAGGCCUUCGGGUUGUAAAGUACUUUCAGCGGGGAGGCGUUACCCGCAGAAGAAGCACCGGCUAACUCCGUGCCAGCCGCCGCGGUAAUAC
rnacentral:rRNA from 1 species